GGGGGCCCGCACAAGCGGUGGAGCAUGUGGUUUAAUUCGACGCAACGCGCAGAACCUUACCAGCCCUUGACAUGUCCAGGACCGGUCGCAGAGACGUGACCUUCUCUUCGGAGCCUGGAACACAGGUGCUGCAUGGCUGUCGUCAGCUCGUGUCGUGAGAUGUUGGGUUAAGUCCCGCAACGAGCGCAACCCCCGUCCUUAGUUGCUACCAUUUAGUUGAGCACUCUAAGGAGACUGCCGGUGAUAAGCCGCGAGGAAGGUGGGGAUGACGUCAAGUCCUCAUGGCCCUUACGGGCUGGGCUACACACGUGCUACAAUGGCGGUGACAGUGGGAUGCGAAGACGCAAGUCCUAGCAAAUCU
rnacentral:rRNA from 1 species